rnacentral:rRNA from 1 species
CCCGCACAAGCGGUGGAGCAUGUGGUUUAAUUCGACGCAACGCGAAGAACCUUACCAGGUCUUGACAUCCCCUGACAACCCGAGAGAUCGGGCGUUCCCCCUUCGGGGGACAGGGUGACAGGUGGUGCAUGGUUGUCGUCAGCUCGUGUCGUGAGAUGUUGGGUUAAGUCCCGCAACGAGCGCAACCCUCGACCUUAGUUGCCAGCAUUCAGUUGGGCACUCUAAGGUGACUGCCGGCUAAAAGUCGGAGGAAGGUGGGGAUGACGUCAAAUCAUCAUGCCCCUUAUGACCUGGGCUACACACGUGCUACAAUGGGCGGUACAAAGGGUCGCGAACCCGCGAGGGGGAGCCAAUCCCAAAAAGCCGCUCUCAGUUCGGAUUGCAGGCUGCAACUCGCCUGCAUGAAGCCGGAAUCGCUAGUAAUCGCGGAUCAGCAUGCCGCGGUGAAUACGUUCCCGGGCCUU